CUCUUCUCCUCUCUGAAAUCACUUCCAGAUACAAAUUUUUAUAAUUUCUGUUUGAUAUCUGAAUCUUAUUAGUUUCAAAUGGUUCGAUUAUUAUUUUCAGCAGUAUUUCUCGCUUUUGAAUUUCGUAUAUGGUUCGAUUAUUAUUGAUAUCUGAAUCUUAUUAGUUUCAAAUGGUUCGAUUAUUAUUAUUUUCAGCAGUAUUUCUCGCUUUUGAAUUUCGUAUAUGAUAUCUAGGGCUCUUGGUUCGUUGUUUUAGGGUUUUGAAUUUUGCUUAUGGAGUUUCUGUUGUUUAUGGGUUCUAAUAAGAUUAUGUUGUAAUUUAGGAUAUUGGGUUUAGGAAAAGUUAGGGUUUUGAUUUGUUCUUUACUCUGCGUGAGAUGGUAAAUCCUAGAUUUUAAAUUCUUCGUUAUCAAUCUGUGUAGAUGAUAAUGAAGAUUUACGUGAAAUCCAUUUAUUAGACAUUGCUAGCAAGGUAUACCAAUCCUCAUUCUUCUUCUUAAGAUUUGCGAUUGAUAAUGAAGAAUUAAGAAUCUGUGUGCUUGAUGUUUGCCGUAGAUGGUAAACCCUAGAUUUUAAAAUCUGUGUUUAUUUAUUUUUAAGUUCCAAAAGAGGAAAUUCAAUGGUCUUCCAGAUAUGUGGAUGUACAUAAAUCUGUUUUCUUCGCGAUUUGUCUUCCUAAUAUACUUGGGAUGCAUUCAAAAGAACACAAGUUUUAGUACAAAAAAAAGGUUAGUAGUUGGUAUGUCAAAUUAAUGCAGUACAACAACUGUUCGACUAAGCCAUUUGGUAUGCUGACAUAUACCUUCGAUAUUGCAAACAAUCUAAAUCUUUGAUUCUACAUUUUAUGUUCGAACUGAGAUUUAAUCAAUUGUGGCAAAUUCUAUUUUGUGGAAUCAGUACUUUAUCUGGAGGUGUCAUCCUGCGGUAGAAAUCAUCAUCCUGGUGGAGUUUUCUCAAGCAACGGGAUAGCCGAAAAAGCAACAUUUGUGGCAGGGUUGUCUGUGUUGAUAUGACCUCGAGAUAACAACGAGCGGGGUGAUAGGCAUGAUUGUCCUAGGAUAAGAAGGGAAAAUAGUUUUUCUAGAAUUAAAACUCCACUGCAUCGCAGAAGUAGAUCGAGUCCUGAUUAUCAAGGGGCGAAACAAUCAAGAGGUGUUUUUCCAGUGGUAAAAGAUUAGAUUGAGUCCUGAUUAUGGACGGAGGAACUUAGGAGAUCAUUGCCUAAUAAUAUAAAUUUUAUCCAGGUCGCCCAACAGUUCAACGCUCACUCAAUGGAUUGUUCACCAGUUCCCUGCUCACCUAUUUGCCGUACCGGUUCCCCUGCUGGCAAUUCACCUGUUCGUUGAUCCCAUCCUGAAUGCUCAGCUAUUUUCUGUUUGCUCAUUUGUUGGUCAUUCUCCAAAUGACCAUACACCUGGCGGUUCUCAAAAUGACCUUUUAUCAGUUUGUCGACCAUUCACCUGUUUGGAGUCGUAAGGAUUUGAAUAGUGGGUUGGAAAGUUAUCUCUAAAUUUUUUGGUUCACUCUUUAUAAUUCUUAUUAAAAAACCAAUGUGCAUAAGCUGUGGUGGAGGAGGUGGCAUUUUUGUAGGCCAGGUUGGCAUACUUCUUGGGCAAGAGCCAUUGGAAAAAUGAUUCAUCUCAAAGGCUGGCAUUGUCUCUGACUCUCUGGAACCGAGUAUUUUCAUACAAGAGCAAGUCUCAAAGGAUGGUUCUUUGAUUAAACAUAUAGGAAUGAUAUUUGUUAUAUUUAUUUCUUUUGCUGUGGUGAUCAUAUAAGAACCAUGAGGUAAUUGAUUUGAUGUGCUUGAUUAUGAUGCUUUUAUGAGUUUCUGAUUCUCACCUUUGCAGGUUCACAACAACCAUUUAAGGUGAAGUUUUACUUUUCUGCUUAAGGUGUAUAUUUUCUAUAAUUUUUAAGUUUUUUUAUUUUAAAGUUUUCGUACUUCUUGGUCCUCAAAAAACAUAGUGGAGCUAUAGACGAGUUGUUAAGUAAAGUGUAGUGUCAAUCGAGCAUAACUUUGAUUGCAAUGGCAUAAAGACUAGAGAGCAAUGAUUUACAAGAAUGAAGUGUAGAUUAGAAAUGACGGCAAUGGGAAAUCCACAACUACGAAAAGCGAGACUACAGCAUGUGAAUUUAGCUUAAUGAUGUCAGUAAUGAUAGUUAAUAUUCAAAAAUAGGCAAUUCGCCUGAUAUGUGUGCUUUACGUGGUUCUCUGAUCUGUUUAGUUAUCCGUAGUAGAGCUUUGGAAGAAGUUCUUUCGGUGUUUAUUGAUAUCUAUUGCUAGGUGAUUGCAUAAUUGGCAAUUCACAAGUGUAAACUUCUGUUUCAUCUGUUUUUAAACCUUAAUGAUAUUUUAUUAUUCGGCAAAGCGGUCAUAUUAAGUUCACUAUUUCAUUAUUCAGUAAAGAUACCAUAUUAACUCCUUUUUUUCAGUUAUCUAAAUUACAGACGUUCUAUGGUGAUUAGCUGCUUGAAUUUCAGUUUCUCUCAUUACAGAAUGCACAUGUACAUGUUGGUGGUUUUGUGUAGUUACUGCAAGUCAGAAGUUGUUCACCUUUCCCUAGCUUUAUUCAGUGUCGUUUUUAAACCAUUUAAGUUGCGUGACUAAUUUUUUGUUGUUUCCUUUUAAUCAGAAGUUGUUCACCUUUCCCUAGCUUUAUUCAGUGUCGUAUUUAAAUUAUUUAAGCUCCAUGACUAAUUUUUUGUUGUUUCCUUUUAAAUUAGGAUGUCGAGGUGCAUACUUAUCUCUAUCCGUGCUCACCUUUUGUCUCUUCUUAUACAUAAGCAAAGUUCGUUUUUUUCUGUAAGAUCAUUGACCAGAUAACUUUAGAUCAUCCAUGAAGUUAGCAUAAGGAAGCUGAGUAAAGCAGGAAAUUAUUUUCUUUUCACACUUAUCAGAAGAAUGAGGGUGUUGCAAUCCAUGUAUAUUGUAUCUUUAUAGUGUAAUAGUUUUUGGCACCCUUAGUAAAUGUAGAAAAAUAAGGAAUACUUUUAGUCUAAGACACGGAGUAGAAAAUCCUCUGAUCUUUUCCAUUCGCAAACACCUUUGCCUGAAUUACUGCACCACCAUUUGACUACCUCUGAUGAUUUUAACUGCAGAAUACUUUUUAAUAUUUUAUUACCUAUUGGUAUAAUAAUGUGCCAAGCAAUCUAUAUAACUCUAUUAACUGUUUCUGUAAAUUAUUUUUAGAUACUAAUUAAGCAAAGCAAUAGGUGCCGGGGUGAUACCGGUUAGUGUGGUUCUUGCAGACACGAACAUAGAGCUAUGCAUUAAGCCAGGGGUUCAAAUGUAUUCUGGAGGUACUUUAAAUCCAUCACCCUGACUAUUGUAUCAAUUGGACUAUUUCUUGAUCCAUGUCAACACCACUACGCCUUGCAGACACGCUACGAUUCUUAUUCAUGAUCUGAGAGCUCAAAUGGAAGAGCACAUGGUUCUCAACCAUGUAGUUGUAGGUUCGACUCCUACAGAUGGCAUUAUCAUGUGAGUAGACAAAUGGCAAAAACAGUGAUUCCAUUGUUUGAUGCUCUCAGAGUGGGACUCCAACAUAAGAUAUAGAGUUGGACCAGGGUCUUGGAGAAGCUUUUGGGAAGUCUGCUUGCUUAAGAGAUAUUCCUUCAAUCUUAUUUGGCGCCAGAGUCCAUCGCGAUUUGUCGAAGGCAGCUCUCUCAUUCUCUCUCGAUUGGUAAAAUCUCAGAUUAGAUAUGGAUGUACAACAAUUAGACAUAAAAACAAUCGUUGCAUCACUGAGCAUCAUCAAACCAAGGAGAUUAGGUCCCUUUGAGAGGCACAUGACAAGUUCGAACAGAUACGGCUACUUUACAUGAAGCAGUUAAAAGAUUGUAAAGUUAGCGAAGCUUCUGAGUGUUGAGAUGCAAAAUGAGAUCCAAGUGCAGGAAGUCGAGGCCGCACAGUUGUGUAGUGACCUGCGAGAGAGGGAGAGGCAGACAUUGCGAGAGAUGGUUUCUUCUUUUUUCGUUUUCUUCGCUGAACAAUGGAAAUCCAUACAGAGAUGAGAAGAAAGAUGGAGACUUGGUUAGUAAACCAGUUUGCUCUAAUAUUUGGCUUAUCUCCUGUUAUUAUUUUGAUGUUUUCAGGUUUGUUUUCUUCUUAUCAAGACCUAAUUACGUUUGGUCAAUUCUUCUCAUACCUCCACCAGAAUCUAUACCUUCAUCUACUUCUCGAGCAGCAACAGUGUUUCAGUGAACCACAUCAUCGGUUUCUCAUACUUAAGCAAGUGCUUUCGUCAUCUUCAUCUUAAUCUUAUGUUUGUUGAUUUUAGUUGAAAUUGAAGGGAUUUUCUAGGUAAGAAGAGAUUUCAGAGCUACUUUGUGUUGACUACUACGACCGGUCAGUAAAACAAAUUAAAAAAUACGGUUUCAUAUAUUUGGGUUUUCUUUUCUUCUUUUUUUUGCUUCUUCAAAUUGGGCGUUUUCUCGGUUUACCAAAUUCUAGGGCUUUUUACCUUACCGUUUCAGCCGUACGUGUAGCUGGAGAUGAUGUUCCUCCUCCACCAUUUGCAACUGUAAUUUUAACUGCAACAUUGGCCCCACUUCUAUUUGAUUCCUUCCGAAGUAACUCAGUUACAUAUUCUUUUUGCUACUAGGAAUUAGAUGGUUAGAAAUUUCUGCUUCUUAGAUAUUUUGGUUUGUUUUUUCAAUUUUAAGUUGAAUCUGAAUGUUGAUAUAAGCUUCUUUGUUUGUAAUAGUAGGAAGUGGCAAUCCAAUUAUGCAAGUGACUUCAAUUGAGGUAUCAGAAGCCUUUGGGAGCAGAAACUGAAGUUCAAUUUUUGUUCCUACCGGAAGUGCAUGUGAUGAAGGGUGGGGUGGGGUAACCUGCAGGGUUUUUACGGUACCCGGUACCUAAUCAGAGAUCCUGUAUAAUACAGUGUUAUGCUUCCCUCUACGAAAGUUGGGUGUGCAGCUCGAUAAAUGUCUCGAUCUUCCAGUUUGGUAAGGAUCCUGUUUUCGAAUAUGUAUUAGAGUCAUUUAAUGGAGUACGAGCUUCCUCUGAUUUAAAUGUUCCUGCAUUACUUUUGUUGUUACCGCAUGGAUGGUUCUCUAUUAAGCUUUUUAGUGGUAUGAAUUUGCUAGGUUUUUACUUUUGUUGUUCUUUUUGCAAUAUCUAGCAUGGUUGAUGGAAGGUAGGAACAAUAUUCUAUUCAAGAGAAUGAUGGAAUUGAUCAUGCUUGCAAAAU